AGGGUGUAAACGCUGCAGACUUGGUGUUGGAAAUCCUUCGAGGGUAUUCAGUGCCGGAGAGAAGUUGUUAAGUCUGCUACUUGGGGAGUACGUCCGCAAGGAUGAAACUUAAAGGAAUUGGCGGGGGAGCACCGCAACGGGAGGAGCGUGCGGUUUAAUUGGAUUCAACACCGGAAAACUCACCAGGGAAGACUGUUACAUGAAAGCCGAGAUGAAGACUCUGCUAGAUUUUUCAGAGAGGAGGUGCAUGGCGUCAGUGACU
rnacentral:rRNA from 1 species